rnacentral:tRNA from 1 species
UGUUCUGUGGCUUAGUUGGUUAAAGCGCCGGACUAACGGCACAAAGUUAUGAGUUCGAAUCCCAUCAAAAUAA